AUACGGAGGAUCCGAGCGUUAUCCGGAUUUAUUGGGUUUAAAGGGAGCGUAGGUGGACAGUUAAGUCAGUUGUGAAAGUUUGCGGCUCAACCGUAAAAUUGCAGUUGAUACUGGCUGUCUUGAGUACAGUAGAGGUGGGCGGAAUUCGUGGUGUAGCGGUGAAAUGCUUAGAUAUCACGAAGAACUCCGAUUGCGAAGGCAGCCUGCUGGACUGUAACUGACGCUGAUGCUCGAAAGUGUGGGUAUCAAACAGGAUUAGAUACCCUGGUAGUCCACACAGUAAACGAUGAAUACUCGCUGUUUGCGAUAUACAGUAAGCGGCCAAGCGAAAGCGUUAAGUAUUCCACCUGGGGAGUACGCCGGCAACGGUGAAACUCAAAUGAAUUGGCGGGG
rnacentral:rRNA from 1 species